rnacentral:rRNA from 1 species
ACCCUCUNACACACUCUAGCUCGGCAGUUAAAAAUGCAGUUCCCAAGUUAAGCUCUGGGAUUUCACAUCUUUCUUUCCCAACCGCCUGCGCACGCUUUACGCCCAGUAAUUCCGAUUAACGCUUGCACCCUACGUAUUACCGCGGCUGCUGGCACGAAGUUAGCCGGUGCUUAUUCUGCGGGUACCGUCAUCUUCACGGGGUAUUAACCCAUGACAUUUCUUUCCUGCCAAAAGGGCUUUACAACCCGAAGGCCUUCUUCGCCCACGCGGGAUGGCUGGAUCAGGGUUGCCCCCAUUGUCCAAAAUUCCCCACUGCUGCCUCCCGUAGGAGUCUGGACCGUGUCUCAGUCCCAGUGUGGCUGAUC